rnacentral:rRNA from 1 species
AGAGUUUGAUCCUGGCUCAGAACGAACGCUGGCGGCAGGCUUAACACAUGCAAGUCGAGCGCCCAGCAAUGGGAGCGGCGGACGGGUGAAUAACGCGUGGGAAUAUGCCCUUUGGUACGGAACAACUCAGGGAAACUUGAGCUAAUACCGUAUGAGCCGGUAACGGGAAAGAUUUAUCGCCAAAGGAUUAGCCCGCGUCCGAUUAGCUAGUUGGUGAGGUAAUGGCUCACCAAGGCACCGAUCGGUAGCUGGUCUGAGAGGACGACCAGCCACACUGGGACUGAGACACGGCCCAGACUCCUACGGGAGGCAGCAGUGGGGAAUCUUGGACAAUGGGGGAGACCCUGAUCCAGCCAUGCCGCGUGAGUGAUGAAGGCCUUAGGGUUGUAAAACUCUUUCGGCGGGGACGAUAAUGACGGUACCCGCAGAAGAAGCUCCGGCUAACUUCGUGCCAGCAGCCGCGGUAAUACGAAGGGGGCUAGCGUUGUUCGGAAUUACUGGGCGUAAAGCGCGCGCAGGCGGCCUUUCAAGCCAGGGGUGAAAGCCCAGAGCUCAACUCUGGAAAUGCCUUUGAAACUGUCAGGCUUGAGUACGGGAGAGGUGAGUGGAAUUCCCAGUGUAGAGGUGAAAUUCGUAGAUAUUGGGAAGAACACCGGUGGCGAAGGCGGCUCACUGGCCCGUAACUGACGCUCAGGCGCGACAGCGUGGGGAUCAAACAGGAUUAGAUACCCCCGUAGUCC